rnacentral:miRNA from 2 species
CGAAUCUUAAGAGACCCCAGGA